CUUAGACAUGGGGAAUCUUCCACAAUGGGGGAAAGCCUGACCGAGCAACGCCGCGUGAGUGAUGAAGGUUUUCGGCUCGUAAAACUCUGUUGUUAAAGAAAAAAAGACCUGACAGUAACUGUUCGGCACCGGACGGUAUUUAACCAGAAAGCCACGGCUAACUACGUG
rnacentral:rRNA from 1 species